rnacentral:tRNA from 1 species
UGACCUGUGGUGUAACUGGCAACACGUCAGAUUCUGGUCCUGAAGAGUCCUGGUUCGAGCCCAGGCAGGUCAA